GAUGAACGCUAGCGACAGGCCUAACACAUGCAAGUCGAGGGGCAGCACAUGAGUAGCAAUACGAUGGUGGCGACCGGCGCACGGGUGAGUAACACGUAUGCAACCUGCCUGUAAACGGGGGAUAGCCUCUCGAAAGAGAGAUUAAUACCGCAUAAAAUCACAACAAGGCAUCUUGUAAAGAUUAAACAUGUAUGGUUUACAGAUGGGCAUGCGUAUGAUUAGCUAGUUGGUGAGGUAACGGCUCACCAAGGCAACGAUCAUUAGGGGUUCUGAGAGGAAGGUCCCCCACACUGGUACUGAGACACGGACCAGACUCCUACGGGAGGCAGCAGUGAGGAAUAUUGGUCAAUGGGCGAGAGCCUGAACCAGCCAAGUCGCGUGAAGGAUGAAGGUGCUAUGCAUUGUAAACUUCUUUUGUAAGGGAAUAAAAAAGAUUACGUGUAGUCUAUUGUAUGUACUUUACGAAUAAGGAUCGGCUAACUCCGUGCCAGCCGCCGCGGUAAUAC
rnacentral:rRNA from 1 species